GACGAACGCUGGCGGCGUGCCUAAUACAUGCCAGUCGAGCGAGUCUGCCUUGAAGAUCGGAGUUCUUGCACUCUGUGAAACAAGAUACAGGCUAGCGGCGGACGGGUGAGUAACACGUGGGUAACCUGCCCAAGAGAUCGGCAUAACACCUGGAAACAGAUGCUAAUACCGGAUAACAACAGAUGAUGCCUAUCAACUGUUUAAAAGAUGGUUCUGCUAUCACUCUUGGAUGGACCUGCGGUGCAUUAGCUAGUUGGUAGGGUAACGGCCUACCAAGGCGAUGAUGCAUAGCCGAGCUGAGAGACUGAUCGGCCACAUUGGAACUGAGACACGGCCCAGACUCCUACGGGAGGCAGCAGUGGGGAAUCUUCCACAAUGGACGCAAGUCUGAUGGAGCCACGCCGCGUGAGUGAAGAAGGGUUUCGGGUCGUAAAGCUCUGUUGUUGGUGAAGAAGGACAGGGGUAGUAAAUGACGUUUGUUUGACGGUAAUCAAUUAGAAAGUCACGGCUAACUACGUG
rnacentral:rRNA from 1 species